UACGGAGGGGGCUAGCGUUGUUCGGAAUUACUGGGCGUAAAGGGCGCGCAGGCGGCUGCUCAAGUCAGGCGUGAAAGGCCUGGGCUCAACCCGGGAAUUGCGCUUGAGACUGGGCUGGCUUGAGUGCGGGAGAGGAUGGUGGAAUUCCCAGUGUAGAGGUGAAAUUCGUAGAUAUUGGGAAGAACGCCGGUGGCGAAGGCGGCCAUCUGGACGGUGACUGACGCUGAGACGCGAAAGCGUGGGUAGCAAACAGG
rnacentral:rRNA from 1 species